AAGAACGGUUCUGUAUAUGUGAGU
rnacentral:piRNA from 1 species